UUGCGGCUGGAUCACCUCCUUUCUAAGGAUGAUCCUUCAGAGAGCUCACGCUCGCUAUCGGAUCGUUUUAGAAACAUUCAGGGGCCAUCGAUCGCAGGAUCUGAUGAGCUCCAUUGGCGGGAUUUCGCCGUCUUCGUUUCUCUUUCUUCGCGGACGAACACGCGCCAGGGGCUGAGCGCUUGUGCGAUUGCUCCGGUGCGAGAUGCCGGGUCGUGCAUGCAAUGCUCCAAUCCUUACAACAAGGAUAAGCGUCAGGG
rnacentral:misc_RNA from 1 species